CAGGUCUCGAGUGCUGUCCUCUCCACCAAGAUCACAGGAGUCGAUGGUGAGCACCCACUUCCCCAGCCCCAUCUCCUGCCUGUCCUGUAGGGCAACUGUCCAAAGACAGGGCUGUGGACCAUGCCUGGGUGUUCACCCAUCGUACUCCAUCUCAUGUCUACCCGUAGUAGUCAUUACCUGCCCUCAAACAUUCCGCCUGAGGCUGCCAGUUCUUGUAGGAAGUGGCCCCGGUGCCAGGCCAACAGCUUUCCUAGGCUUCAGAACACCGAGAUGAUUUCGGGCCAUCACUGAUCUUCACCCACCAGAGAAGUUUUUCACCAGGGGCUUUUCCUGACGUCAAAGUAACAGCCAGGUUAAGGGAACCCCUGGCCUGGGGGUGUCCCCCUGCCCACCCCCUGCAGCCCACAGCCCACCUGUCCUGCCUGCUGACAGGUCUCCUCCCACUCCUCCCGGCCUUGUUUGCACUGGAAAGUUGGGGUGCAUCGGCUGUGCACCUGAAUGUGUUAUUUGCUUCUGCUUAAAGAUCAUAAAGUCAGUAAAUUGUUUAAAAUAUAACUCAUUUGAGGGUCUAGCUCCUGCAAAGUCUGUUUGUCUUCUUUCAAAGCAUGCCUUAACUCAGCCCCUUCCUUUAUAAAACAGUCCAGCUCCAUAGAAAUUUUAAACAAACUGUCUCUCUCCUCUGGGCUUGGACUCAGCCCCCUCCCGGUCACAGGCCUGCCUGGAAGAAGCAGGUUGGGCCCUCUCAGCCGCUUCUGUUUAUAUCUGGGCCCAUUAUCAUGAAGGGCACUUUUAUUUGAGGAGUUGAGUAUUACAUUAGCAUUAUAAAACAAAUUGUUUUUCCAUUGCUUGAGAGCCAGGGAGAAUAAACCUGGACGGGCCAUGGCCUCCUAUUUAAAUAAACUAACGUCAUCCUGGGUACCAAGGAGCCUGAUUCGCCCCCCUGUUCCCCGCUUGGGCCGAGUUGUCCUCCCGGCCGCCUCUUUGGUCCCCUGGCCUCUGGGGCUCAGUGGGCUGUUCCCAGGGAAGCCUUCACCCUCUCUCCACCAGGGCUGUACAGUGACCCCGAGUCCAAUGGCAGAAAGGAUGGGGCUCAUCACAGGGCCCAGGACCCCAAAGGUUACAAAGCACCCACCCCUCCCCAUCUGACCCUCACCACCCCCAGCCGCACGCUUGGGCCUCCCUCCUCCUGUGCCUCCGGGACCGUCUCCCCACCUGCGGGAGGCCAGGUGUGUGGCUCCAGAGACCCUCCACCUGAACUACCCGCUCCCAGAGCCCCAGUCAGGGCCGCCAGAGGUCGCGGAGGGUGAAGCCAAUGGGCCUGGACGCCGAGGCCGGGGAGAGGAAGGAGCGAGGUAAUGGCUGUGGCUGGAGACCCUCUUCUGACUCCCCAGGCUGCCGGGUAGGCCUACUGUGGGAUGGGACUCAGGCGACCAGACGUGCUCUCCGUCGCCUCCAUCCCGGCCGCUGACUCCGCUGUGUCCCCUUGGAUCCAUCACCACCUCCAGGCAGCCCUCCAGCGGGUUCUGGUGGCGCCGAGAGCUUCGAGGGGACUCAACGCGCUUUGUAGGGCCUGUGAAAUCCGGCUUGUCGCAUAAGCUCCCUGAAGAAGAGAACAAACUUCCCAGACCAGGGGCCCGCGGGGAGCGGUGCAGACACCGCGGCAACCCACCCCGAGCCCGCCGGCCCUCGCUCCGUGCGCCCAAGGGGCGUCCCCCGAGGUGUCGCCUGCAAGGCAGCCGCGUGCGCCUCGGCCCAGGGCUCCCAGCCACCACCUUGGGGCCGCAGAAGGCGAGCGGUCACACCGGGGCUGAGGUCAGGAGCCGGCUCACCCCCUCUCCUGCGACUGUUCCCUGACCUGCGACUGUUCGGUUCUCCCGACUGGCCUUGGUCGUUGCCUUUUAGGGUCUCGGUGUGACCAACUAAGCAGACACUCAGCGGCAGCGCCGCGCUUGGGGAGACUGCAGGGCAGAAAUGGGCCUAGAGGUGAAGGAGCCCUUCCCAAAUCGGACAGUCCCGGGGCUGGAGAGCCGGGAGCAACCCAGUUCCCUGAAGAAAUGAUUGCAGCUGCUCAGGCAAAACACGGUCUCCAGCACUGGGAAGGCGACAGCGGCGACAGUGCACCGUCCCCCUUGCACGCACUGAGGAGCCUGUCUUGGAGCUGAGACCUCCUCGCCCCCUCCGAGCUUACUGAGCACCCGGCCGGCAGCCCCCCGACUCCCCAGGAUGCUGCCUUGACCCCACCUAAUCUGGUCACUCACCUCCUAACCUUUCAGGGUCCAAGAGGACCCGCGUCCUGCCCCACCUUGCUGGGUGCAGAGCCGGGUGCACGCGGGACCCGCACUCGCUCUGGGCGAACACGCAGCGCCCUUCCCGGCCUCAGGCCGAGCCGGACCGCAACGCCGCUAUUAGUAAGGACUAAAAACAAAAGUUCUCCCCGAAGCCCACCUUUCCCCAGUAAGAAGGUGUCAAGGGUUAAACCGUUCGAUUUGCCCUUUUUCUUGAUCUUAGAGGGAAGAGGCAAGAACUCCUGGCACCUUUAUGGGCCUCAGACCUGUGGCUGCUGCCAGCAGUCUCAGUCCCACUAACUUUGAUCAGCCUUAUUAAUUCCAGCUGUGCUCUAUUUGUUUGUCAUUUUCCCCUUUUCCUCUGGAAUCAUUAUUUAUAGCAGGAAAAAAAAAAGCCCACUGUUAGAAUGGAGGCAAGGAGGGAAUUUCUGAGAACGACUGGGUGAAUGUAUUUUUCCUUAAAGGUCACCAAAAAGGAGGAGAGGUGUAGGGGUGAGUCUUGACUCUUAUGAGCUCUUCUUUGAAUUUAUUACUCAAGAGCAUUAACUAAUUACCAGAUCAGAUAAAUGAAAAAAAAAUUCCCUAAAAUAACCCAAGGUAAUUAUAACCGUGCUGUUGACACUAACGAUUAAUAAUUGAUCAGGAGUCACACACAAUAAAUUGUCAAUUUAUCUCCCCACAAAAAUGCGAGUGCUUGUGUAGCAUUGUGUUUUGUUUCUUCCCUCUGGGUAUUUUCUGUGAAUAUCGAGUCCGUAUUGGAGGCAGCCCCAAACCUCAUAGUCAAUUCUUUAAGAAUAUUACAUUUCAUUUAUUUACAGCUCCAUAUAGAACAAAGUAACAUUAGAACACCUUUUAAAAAUACUUUUAUUAUCAUGGGGCCAGAGUUAAACAAACAAAAAAAAUUCUUCCUCUUUCCUUUUAUCUGGGAUUGCGCAAAUACGGACAACAGAUAUUUCCUUUCUUCAUUGUAUUAGCAAUACAGUCCUCUUAAAUUGUGUCUUCAAUUAUUAUCUUUCUUAGAAAGAGAGAGAACACUCUGCCUUCACGGUAGGAAACACAAGACUAUUCUCUGUUCCAAGGGUGGAGGGGACAGAGGUGCCGGUUGAGGCCACAUCCAUCUGUUUCUAGGGAUGCAGCUGAAGGGAGAGGCUGAUGCAUACAAGUGGGGUGUCUGCUUCCUAAAACUGGGGCUCAAAGUGUUUUCUCUUCCACCCAUCAAUGGCUGAGGUCCAAGUGCAUAUUGUUGAAAACCAGAUUCGUAGCAUUCUAGCCCAAGCAAAGGGGAGGGCUAGUGAGUGCUUUCAUUAUGGCCAAUAGAUAGUAAUUUUCAGCAACUGGAAAAUUAUAUUGUCAUAGAUUACUUCUCCUUAUAAUUAGCCUUUAAAAUAUCUGUAGGGAUUUGUCACUUGCAUAAAGGUUUGAAAAUACAUCAAAGGGACAUGUCCCCCUUGCGAUUUGUAGAAAUUCAAAUGAUGUUAAUCAUAAUAUCCACAUAGCACAGACGGUUGUGUAUUGUUCCCAAGAUAGCCUCUUCGGUUAACGCUUUCAAAAAAAUAGUUAAAAUGUUAUGUUUGUAAAAGCAGUUUAAAACAUAUUUAUUAUAUCUAUUUAUAUUUUAAUUUUGAGUCUAAAUGAAUGUUUUCCUUGGGAUUCUCAAGGUACUGGGCAACUAAAGAAAAAUUAUAUAGUGAUAAUUAUUGUAUAUUGUUACUUGGAUGAAACUUUCUCAUAAUUCACUUCAGAGUGUUAUUGAAAUUUGAAAAUGCCUCUGAGUGGACCACAAAUUUGUUUGGAACAAUUUUUUUUUCCAAAUUGAUGUCUGUUUAAUUAGGCUGUAACAGUGGUAGUUUAGUAUGUACAUUCACUCCGUAGUUAAAAAACAAAGGGUCCACUUUACUUUUAGCCUCCUUGAUAUGUACUUAAAUGCAAUUGUAAAUGAUCCGAAAACGCGCACGGGCUUCGGAGGUGGCUAUUUCAUCUUUGUGUUUCUUCGCAGUGGUUCUCGCCUCCCAGAAUCCGCAGAGAUCUAAUAAACACAUAAGUUAAAGAGAGCCUCAGGGGAACCCCGAGCCCUCUCCCACCACUCUCCCAACUCCAGAAUGAGAUCCGCGGCGGCCCGGCGAGGGGGUUCUGGGGAGGCGCACCCCAGGCUGGCUACCCUGAGCCCAGGCCCAAGGCUGCCCCUCUAGGCCCCAGCACCCAGCCCCCUUCCUCUCUCCGCUCCCCGCCCCUCCUUCCUCGCAUCAGACAAAGGUGGAUGAAGUUCUUUUCAAGUUUCAAAGGCAGUUGCUGGGCAGCUUUGCAGAAACAAUAACUCUUUUAUUGGGAACAAAUGUUGACAUUUGACGGGCGCGGGAGGCAGCGCCCGCGCCGGCCGCCGGGCAAGCGCCCCGGUGCUCUCGGCAGCCCCCGGCCCCCGGGGCCCACCUGAGAUUAAAGCGCGAAUUCCGAUAAAUCAGCUCUAAGGAAACCCUGGGCCGCGGAGAGCAGAAGGGCUGUCGCGGAUCCACCACGCGGGCGCCGGGCCGCGGAGCCGGGAGCGCGCCCAGGCCUGCACCCGCAGCAAAGCCAAGGCCACCGCCCCAAAGCCCAUCUGCUCCUGGUCGCCCCGUUUUGCCGACGUCUCCCCGGCCUCAGUCAACAACAGCAAACUUCUAUCUUGGAGGGCUAGCAAUUGUGACACCUACCUGUGGACCAAGGAAAAAACCAAAUCAUCCCCAAUCUUUCAGUUCCACAACAA
rnacentral:lncRNA from 1 species